UUUUUUUUGCUCUGCCCCUCCCAGUACCUCCCCAGAUUAGGUUACAAGAAACGUAUCCACUUCAUGAAUCCAAUGGUCCCUGGUCUGACAGGUGCUAAAAUGAGUGCCUCUGAUCCUGAUUCUAAAAUUGAUCCUUUGGAUUCAGCAGAAGAUGUAAAAAAGAAAUUAAAGAAAGCAUUUUGUGAGCCUGGUAACAUUACUGAGAAUGGUGUCCUCUCUUUUGUUAAAUAUGUCGUAUUCCCCAUCAUCAGUGGACGAGCAAGGGGCUGGAGAUAGUGGACAAUCAUGUAGUAGUAACAGUUAAUUAAAGUUAAUUAAAAGUGUCAACUGUUAACCACAAAAAGAUAGAGAGGACGACCCAUGAUAGCCUUUCACAAAUAACUGACUAUAAAAUGAGAGGAGAUUUUCAGGUGA